GACUGGUGGUAGCAGCCGAUGAACACGCCAACAGUGCAGACAAGCAGUGCUCCUAUCGACCGCAGAAGAAUGGACAUGAGUGAUGCAAGAAAAAACCUUGUGGGGGACAGGACCUUCUUGGGCCUGUGUAGGCUGCUGACUGGGUGCGAGAAUUUGGAAGAGGCUAUUGAGCUAGCCUCCAAAGGGGACAACAGUCCAGUCGACGUGCUGACUUGUGACAUCUGCCAAGGGGAUUACGAAUCUUUGGUCAUUCCAGGAUUAGAGUUGGCCAGGAGAACAUUCACCAGCUGCUGUUUGUGGGAAAUGUACUGCAACGAAACAACCUCUCCAAGAAGCUGCUGGCCAGUGCAAUGAAGAGAUGGCUCAAUGGUCAUCUGAAUGUACUGUUGCUGGAGCAUGAGAGGUUUUUCAGUGCAGUGGGCGUGCUUCUCGAACAGCUGAACCAUACAGGCCCAAACGCCCCCGCUCCCCAGACUCUGCAACGCGCCAUGAACACGAUGAGACAGUGGGACAAGGACAUGACUGACCGGUGCAUGGGUUCCAGACAGAAGCUUCCUCUCUCCCUCUCUCCUGGAGGCUGUUAGUUUUUGAUUUGCUUUUAUUUUCUUGGGUUUACAUUACAUUACAUUAUUGGCAUUUGGCAGACGCUCUUAUCCAGAGCGAUGUACAGUUGAUUAGACUAAGCAGGAGACAAUCCGCCCUUGGAGCAAUGCAGGGUUAAGGGCCUUGCUCAAGGGCCCAACGGCUGUGCAGAUCUUAUUGUGGCUACACCGGGAUUAGAACCACCGACCUUGUGUGUCCCAAUCAUUUACCUUAACCACUACACUACAGGCCGCCCCAGGUUUAUGAAGUCCAGUGUCUCUGUGGCGGUUUCCUUUCCCAAUGGCAUUAACCCUUUCCACUUUGCCCGUCCCCACCCAAAGGGCAAUGCCUUUUAUUGUCUGAGUCUGUGGCGAGGUGAGGGUUGUAAACCGUGAGCAUGGCAUGGGGGAGGCUGGAGUGUUAUUCCCCGACUUUGCAAAUGAGAGGCUGAUAAGCAUCUAAACUACUGUUCUCGCUAGUGGCGACAAUCUGACAUUGCCAUUUUGUGGUUUUAUUACGUUGCAGUUUUUUGUAUGAUAUCAAUAUGAACGCAACAAUAAUUUGAGACGUUGAAGACUCAACCACAAAGGGGCAAAGUGGAUUUGGUUAAGGGAGCUCGAACCGGGAGGUCGCCGCCUUCCAAAAUAAGAGGUGGAGACGCUUGGGAGAAAUUUGUAUGAUGCACGUAUUUAAAGUACACAACCAGUAUUUAAUCAGCUGGAAAAGAGUAGGUUUAGUGCGCAAGAGUUGCUUUUGAAAUUCACACAGCACAAGUGUUAUAAACUGAUCUUCUGUAAAUGAGACUUGUCUGUGUUUCAUAAGCAGACUGCUCCUCUCUGGUACUGCUCCUCACACGUAGUGUGUGUGUGUGUGUGUGUGUGUGUGUGCUUCACAACCAUUCUUCUGAACUGUACACCUUGGCCCCGCUUUUAUUGGUGCACACACAGAUCCACAGAGAUCUUUGUGGGAGGGAAGAGUGAGCACUGCUGCAUUGAGAUGGUGUAGCAGCAUCGUCAUGGCAACUGCUCUGCACCCUCAUAAACAUUAUGCUCCUGGCGUUUCUCGCUUGAAAAGCAAAAGAAAUGUGCACGCUGAAUAGCCAGUACACGCGUGGUCUGCAACAGAUACAUUAGCUUAUUUGUCUGUGGUGAGGGACCGUCUGGCUGUUCAUUGCCUGCAGGGUGUGUUCCGAGUGGUCAGUCCUAGUUAUUUUAGUAUAUGUGUCAGUGCUGGCAGGCCACAUUUUUAUAUAGUCACUAUGGUACUAAGAGGGAAGACUAAGGAAGCCAAAUGGGGCUCAUGAGAGAGAAUAUCCUUAACUGCCAUUUGGAAGAUUUGAAUUCCACUACAAAAAGGCUUCAUGAAAGGCCCAUCCUCUUCCCUCAAUGGGAACAUUUUUGCUAUUUUGACAAUCCACUUUUCUCCAAUGAUGUUUAUUUUCUGUAUGCAAAUAUUUUCAAAAGAAUAUGCUGGUUGUCAAAAGCUCAGUGUGCUCAGUAGCAGGAUAAUGAAACUCGUCAUUUGAUUAAUCACUGUGAAAGAAGUGGUGUAUAUGCAGUUCCUUCGCUGUAAUUUUCUCUGUAGAAUUGAGUGUGAGUUGUGAGCCAGGCACCUCAAUAAGGAAACUACUAAGACUAGAGCAGGGGUAGGCAACCCUGUUCCUCAAGUGCCAUUGACGGUCCUGUUUUUUCUCUAACCCAUAACUCUAUAUUCAGAUUUAUUUUAAUUAGUAGAAUUUAAUGAAUGAACGUUUAAUGAAUGCAGAAGUCCCUGUGCUGGAGGCACUCUGCAUUUCACAAUUCUGAAUAUUCAGGCUCAGACUUGUUUAACCCUUGUGUGGUCUUAACAGUCUGUAUUCUCCCCUUGUCCUAAGCGUAAAAAAUGACCCACCUUUACUAAACCCCUAAAAUAAAGCAGCCUAAUUGAAUUUCAUACCCCAACUUUAUUUGCAUGAAGAAACAACCUGUCACUCAUCACAAACUUUGUCAUCAAAUUUCAAGUUGAAAAAAGAUAAUCUAGGGGUUUUUUGCUGCUGUUAAACAGAGUGGCCAUUUUUUACCCUUAAAACAACACAAGGGUUAACCUUCUGUCAAACUCUUGUGAUCAUGCUCAGUUUUAACUGAAACCAAAACGUCACUGGUGCUCCAGGACCAGGGUUGCAGACCCCUGGACUAGAGUGUUCUUAAAGCUUAUAGAGAAACAAUAUGCCAUUAUUUAGAAGUGACCAGUUCACUGUGCAUCUGCUCCUUUCUGUGCUUCUUUGUGAAGGUUGUGAGUGCAAGAAUGGGUGCUUUUUGAUGUGAACAUUGAUACAGAAAUCGCUAGUGCCUUAAUACAUCCUACCUCGACAAGUGCAGGGAGCUUUAACUGUCACAUAUUGCCAACAGUAUUUCCAUCUUAAGUGAUUCUGUAAUGCUUACCUCACUUAAACCUGCCAAGAAUGACUAUUCGGUCUCCCAGCGUGUGCCAUCAAGCCCCUCCAGCUGGUCCAGAAUGCUGCAGCCCGCCUGAUCACCAGUCAGCCCAGGUCGGCUCAUGUCACCCUGCUUCUCAUUGGCCUCCACUGGCUUCCUAUUGCCGCACGCAUCUGUUUCAAGGCCCUAGUGUUGGCAUUUCAGGCUGCUAAGGGGACUGCCCCACCUUACAUACAAUCCCUGAUCACUCCCUACUCCCCAGCUCGACCACUCCGGUCUGCCAGCUCUGGUCGCCUUACAGUUCCCUCUCUACGUGCACCUGGCGGUCGAGCCGCACGUUCACGCCUGUUUUCCGUUCUGGUUCCUCAGUGGUGGAAUGACUUGCCUACCACUGUCAGAACAGCAGAAUCCAUCCCCCUAUUUCGAUGCAGACUCAAAACCCACCUUUUCAAACUCUACCUUAGUCCUCCCUCCUGAUUUCCCCUGCCCCUCCUUUCUGAUAUCCCUAUCCUUGUCUAACCCCCCCCCCCCCCAAAAAAAAAAUGAUGACAACUAUGUUUAGAACAGCAUUUCAUGCGUAUUUUGGUAGUUUCUGGAUGUGAUGCUUCGACUACUUAUGGUAGAACCUAUGCACUUGUAAAUCGCUUUGGAUUAAAAGCGUCUGCCAAAUGACUAAAAUGUAAAUGUAAAGUACGUCUGAAACAUUUCCAAGAACAAGCAGAGGGUGCUGUUUAACUUGCGCUACUCCCAAUUACUAGUAGAGGAGUGUAGUCUCCACUGCAUGCAGCCGUGACUCCAUUUUGCUUUCAGAAAUGUGCCUUAGAUGUUUCUUGCUCUCAGAAAGUAUUACAUAUUGAGCAAAAUGCUCGAUGAUGAAACAAGUGUAUCUGGUUGUGUACAAACUGUUCCUUAAUGUUCUGUACUGGCUGUUCUGAGGUCUCGUACAUUAUUCCCAGAAUUACUGAUGGCUCCUUGUCACAUUUAAUGUGAUGUCAGAUGCACUGUUUAUGCCACGCCUACAUGGUGUUUGAACUAAAGUAUCGGGUAUGAGGUAGUAGAUUGUCUGAUAAUUCAUAGUGCAGAUAAUAUCAUUUUAUUUUUUAUUUGUAUAUGCAAAAAUGCUAUAUUUUAUGCAUUGGGGUUAAACAUGGUUUCUAAAUCCUAUCUGGGACCGGAAUAGGUGGUUAAAUUGUAACAAUAAUUUAAUUAAAAAUAUAGUUAUCUUUGCAAUAAAUAUGAGGCUAAAUUGUCACCUGUCAACUUUGAGUGUACUUACAUCCAUAGUGGGCGAUUCUUGUCUGAAUUGCAUCCUUUUUUGAGGUGUAUUCAAUUGUUUCCUUAGUGCAGUUAUAAGAAAGCUCUCGGUAUCUUGUCUUCAUUCUUGGCUCUUUAUUUCCUUUGGCAUUUGUCAACAUGAGGACCAGAGUUGUGCCAAUGACAGUGAAGGAAGCCAUUAUGAGGCUGAGAAAUGAGAAUAAAAUUGUCCUUGCCAAAGAAAUGGCUCUGACUGUUUCUUUUUCUUAUUUCUUAGCCUCAUAAUGGCUUCCUUCACUGUCAUUGGCAAAACUCUGGUCCUCAUGUUGACACACGCCAAUAACACUCCAAAGGCAAUAAAGAGCCAAGAAUCAAGACUAGAUACUGAAAGAUUUCUUAUAACUGCAAUAAUUCCUUUUUCGUCCCCUAAAAUGGGAGGACUCGGUAUAAAAAUUGAUAUAAUUCCAACAAAGAUCACCCAGUAUGGAUAUAUGUAAAUACCCUCAACUUACAGGUAAAAGUCUGCACUUUAACCUCAAAUUCAUUGUUUCAUUUAAUUUCUGUCAUCGAUGUGCUGGAGUACACAGAAUUGCUGGAGUAAAAGAAAUUGUACAACUUAAUAAAUAAAUAUGGACUGCAAUUUAUUAUUUCUAAAUACUUUGUUUAAUUGAAUACAUCAAUGACUAAAUUAAUGACUAAAACCACAGUCUAAUGUCUUUGCUGUACAUGUUUGUUUUCUGAGAUGCUGCUGGUCUUAUAUGUGUGUUUUAUACUCAUUUUGAUUAAAUGUGAUACAUUUAAUUCAUGUUACAUUAAGAUGUUCUUGUGGUUUGAACAAUUUUCUAUUAUUUUCUGUAUUGAAUACUGCAAUUGCUCCUGUAAUUUGGAUGUUGAGUGUUUUCUCUCGAGUUCAAAAUAAAUUAACAAAAUACA